GAUGAACGCUGGCGGCGUGCUUAACACAUGCAAGUCGAACGAUGAAGCCCAGCUUGCUGGGUGGAUUAGUGGCGAACGGGUGAGUAACACGUGAGUAACCUGCCCUUAACUCUGGGAUAAGCCUGGGAAACUGGGUCUAAUACCGGAUAGGAGCAUCCACCGCAUGGUGGGUGUUGGAAAGAUUUAUCGGUUUUGGAUGGACUCGCGGCCUAUCAGCUUGUUGGUGAGGUAAUGGCUCACCAAGGCGACGACGGGUAGCCGGCCUGAGAGGGUGACCGGCCACACUGGGACUGAGACACGGCCCAGACUCCUACGGGAGGCAGCAGUGGGGAAUAUUGCACAAUGGGCGCAAGCCUGAUGCAGCGACGCCGCGUGAGGGAUGACGGCCUUCGGGUUGUAAACCUCUUUCAGUAGGGAAGAAGCGAAAGUGACGGUACCUGCAGAAGAAGCACCGGCUAACUACGUG
rnacentral:rRNA from 1 species